AUGAACGCUGGCGGCGUACCUAAUACAUGCCAGUCGAGCGAACAGACGAGGAGCUUGCUCCUCUGACGUUAGCGGCGGACGGGUGAGUAACACGUGGAUAACCUACCUAUAAGACUGGGAUAACUUCGGGAAACCGGAGCUAAUACCGGAUAAUAUAUUGAACCGCAUGGUUCAAUAGUGAAAGACGGUUUUGCUGUCACUUAUAGAUGGAUCCGCGCCGCAUUAGCUAGUUGGUAAGGUAACGGCUUACCAAGGCAACGAUGCGUAGCCGACCUGAGAGGGUGAUCGGCCACACUGGAACUGAGACACGGUCCAGACUCCUACGGGAGGCAGCAGUAGGGAAUCUUCCGCAAUGGGCGAAAGCCUGACGGAGCAACGCCGCGUGAGUGAUGAAGGUCUUCGGAUCGUAAAACUCUGUUAUUAGGGAAGAACAAAUGUGUAAGUAACUAUGCACGUCUUGACGGUACCUAAUCAGAAAGCCACGGCUAACUACGUG
rnacentral:rRNA from 1 species